AGAGGGGCGUGAGGUUUCAAGAUGGCGGGGCUGAAGGGUUGACCGCCAGGCUGAAUUGAAGGCCCUUACAAAGUGAAAGAGGGCAGGAAUCGCACCUCUUGGCUGCUCGCAGUCCUGGGAGCACAGCAGAAGUGUUUUUCUUUUCUUUUCUUUUUCUUUUUUUUUAAAUGAACAAGUAAACCAUACAAAUUGUCAACAUGGGAAGGAGAUCUGCAUCAUCCACCAAGAGUGGAAAAUUUAUGAACCCCACAGACCAAGCCCGAAAGGAAGCCCGGAACAGAAGAACAAAAAACAGCUCAUGAUGGUUUGAGCUGAAGUUUUAAAGAUGAAGGAUCCCAAACAGAUGAUCCGAGACAUGGAGAAAUUGGAUGAAAUGGAGUUUAACCCAGUGCAACAGCCACAAUUAAAUGAGAAAGUACUGAAAGACAAGCGUAAAAAUAGCUGUGUGAAACCUUUGAACAUAUUCUAUGACUCUAUGAAAAAGAGGAUCCAGAUAUUUAGAAAGAAUUGAGAAAGCUAGAAAUAGAGUAUGAACAGAAGAGGACUCAACCAAUAUUUGAAUGCUGUCGAGAAUGCCCAGCACGUGGAAGUGGAGAGUAUUCCUUUACCAGAUAUGCCACAUGCUUCUUCUAACAUUUUGAUCCAGGAAAUUCCACUUCCUGGUGCCCAGCCACCCUCCAUCCUUAAGAAACCCUCAGCCUGUGGACCUCCAACUCAGGCAGUUUCUAUCCUUCUCUUCUUGGGACGUGGUGUUCCACAUUUGCCUCCUGGCAGAAAACCUCUUGGCCCUCCCCCUGGUCCACCCCCUCCUCAAGUCGUGCAGAUGUAUGGCCGUAAAGUGGGUGUUGCCCUAGAUCUUCCCCCUCCUAGGUGAGAUGAAGGCAUGGUACAUAGUCCUGAAAUUGCCCAGCGAGGUCAUGAUGAUGAUGUUUUUAGCACCAGUGAAGAUGAUGGCUAUCCUGAGGACGUGGAUCAAGAUAAGCAUGAUGACAGUACUGAUGACAGUGACACCGACGGAUCAGAUUGAGAAAGUGUGCGCCAUGAUGAUGGUGGGAGAGACAACAAUGAAAAAAAGAAGUCAGGUCUGAGUGUACGGUUUGCAGAUAUGCCUGGAAAAUCAAGGAAGAAAAAAACCAUGAAGGAACUGACUCCUCUUCAAGCCACGAUGCUUCGUAUGGCAGGUCAAGAAAUCCCUGAGGAGGGACGGGAAGUAGAGGAAUUUUCAGAGGACAAUGAUGAAGAUGAUUCUGAUGACUCUAAAGCAGAAAAACAAUCACAAAAACACAAUCAAGAGGAACUGCAUUCUGAUGGCACAUCCACUGCUUCUUCACAGCAGCAGGCUCCCCGGCAGUCUGUUCCUCCUUCUCAGGUACAAGCACCUCCCAUGCUUCACCAUUACGGCCUCCUAGGCCACCUAUGAACCUUCCCCCUGGACCACCUCCAGGAGCUCCUCCUGAGACCACCUGGAAUGCCAGGACUCGGCCUUUACCCUGACUUUUACCUCCACGACCACCGACUUUUACUACCUCCCCCACGUCUACCUCCAAGUCUGCCCCCUGGUCCCCCUCCUCGGGAACCCCCACCAAGGAUACCUCCCCCUGCACCUCCAGGUAUUCCUGGAGUUUGUAGGCUUCACCAUAAGCUCAUUUUGGCUUUUAGUCCAAAUACCAAAUACAAGAGCAAAUAUACUUGCUAAUGCAAGAUAUUUUGUCCUGGCACGAUGCACCCAGCUUUGGUACCUCCCCUUGGGAUCUGCCCCCCUGGGCUUUUCCCACCAGCUCCCUUGCUGAACCCUGAGAUUUUAAGUGCCCCACCCGGCUUGAUUCAGCGAUCCAAGGUAGAUAAUACAAGUGCAGCCACCGUUGAGAAGAAAGCCACAGCAACCGUCACUGCCAAACCACAGAUCACUAAUCCCAAGGCAGAGAUUACUCGAUUUGUGCCCAGUGCAUUGAGAGUACGUCGGGAGAAUAAAAGGGCUACUGCUGCUUCCCAAAGAAAGUCAGAGGAUAAUUCUGCUGUGCCUCUUGCCAAAGCAGCACCCAAAUCUGGUCCUUCUGUUCCUGUCUCAGUACAAACUAAGGAUGAUGUCUAUGAGGAUUUCAUGAAAGAGAUGGAAGGGCUACUGUGACAGCUUUUGAUGCCAGAACAGGCCUCUGUUCACAACAGUAGCCCAUGGAGAAAGAGGCUCUUAUUAAACUUAGAUGAAAGAGCUGCUUCCAUUGUCAGGGUAUUUUCUAAUUUCAGUUCAAGGAAUAUCCUAAAAUUUAGCCUUGUUCAGAAUUUGCUGCACAUUAAAGAGGGUAUUUCAUUCAGAAUAGAUAAGUUAUUGAAGCAGUGCUGCUAACAUCCAUUCCCUUUCACACCACCAUUUUCACCCUGCUUCUUCCCCUUUGGAAAUUUGUGAUCGGGGGAUCUUAGUUGCUUAUUUGUUUUGACUCUAUUCUUAUGUGCUGUGGGCACUGGAGUAGAGAUUUCUGAAAAGCCAGUUUAUUUCACCUUGCCUUUUGUGUUUGGGUUAUUUGUAAUGUUUUCCUGUAAAUAUUUUAUAAUAUUUUGCUUGUAAUGAAAUAGAUCACAAUGUCAUUUCCUAAUACAAGGCAGGAUAUGUGGGAAGAAAAUAUACAAUUCUUUGAUUAAAAUUAUUUCCAACUGACAUAUAUACAUAUAUGUAUAUAUAUGUUAUAGGCCAGGUGUGGUGUUGAGCACCUGUAGUCCCAUUUACUUAGGAGGCUGAGGCAUAAGAAUCACUUGAACCUGGGAGGCCAAGGUUACAGUGAGCCAAGAUGGUGCCAUUGCACUCCAGUCUGGGGGAUAGAGCCAGACCCUGUUCAAAAAAAUAAAAAAGUUUAUUUUUGUCUAGAGUCAAAUGAAUGCCUCUCACUACCAACAGGGUGGAGCAGUUCCUGAUGUAUAUUUAGUCCUCAGCAAAUAUUUUUUAAUAAAUUGAUGAAUAUCAUAAAUAUUAUUAUUCA
ensembl:lncRNA WBP11P1 WBP11 pseudogene 1